GGAGAGAUGGUCGAGUUGGUUUAAGGCACCGGUCUUGAAAACCGGCGUACCUUCACGGGUACCCAGGGUUCGAAUCCCUGUCUCUCCGCCA
rnacentral:tRNA from 4 species